rnacentral:rRNA from 1 species
UGGAGGGCAAGUCUGGUGCCAGCAGCCGCGGUAAUUCCAGCUCCAAUAGCGUAUAUUAAAGUUGUUGCAGUUAAAAAGCUCGUAGUUGAAUUUCGGGGUCAGCAGGUUGGUCGUGCCUCUGGUACGCACUGGUUUCGCUGAUUCCUCCUUUCUGAAGAACUGUAAUGUCAUUAAUUUGGUGUUGCAGGGAAACAGGACUGUUACUUUGAAAAAAUUAGAGUGUUUAAAGCAAGCUAACGCUUGAAUACAUUAGCAUGGAAUAAUGAAAUAGGACGUUUGAUCCUAUUUUGUUGGUUUCUAGGAUUGACGUAAUGAUUAAUAGGGAUAGUUGGGGGCAUUAGUAUUCAAUUGUCAGAGGUGAAAUUCUUGGAUUUAUUGAAGACUAACUACUGCGAAAGCAUUUGCCAAGGGAUGUUUUCAUUAAUCAAGAACGAAAGUUAGGGGAUCGAAGACGAUCAGAUACCGUCGUAGUCUUAACCAUAAACUAUGCCGACUAGGGAUCGGAUGAUGUUAAUUUUUUUAAUGACUCAUUCGGCGCCUUACGGGAAA